GAUGAAGAACGUAGCGAAAUGCGAUAAGUAGUGUGAAUUGCAGAAUUCAGCGAAUCAUCGAAUCUUUGAACGCACAUUGCGCCCCAUGGUAUUCCGUGGGGCAUGCCUGUUCGAGCGUCAUUUACCCCCUCAAGCUCCGCUUGGUGUUGGGCGUCUGUCCCGCUUCGCGCGCGGACUCGCCCCAAAGGUAUUGGCAGCGGUCGUGCCAGCUUCUCGCGCAGCACAUUGCGCUUCUCGAGGCACCGGUGGGCCCGCGUCCAUCAAGCUCACCCCCCCAGUUUGACCUCGGAUCAGGUAGGGAUACCCGCUGAACUUAAGCAUAUCAAUAAGCGGAGGA
rnacentral:misc_RNA from 1 species